AAAGCGCGAUAUGUAGUGUGAAUUGCAGGACCUGUGAAUCAUCGAGUCUUUGAACGCAAGUGGCGCUCUGUGCAAACGGAGCAUGUUUGGCUGAGGGUUGUUUGCGAUGCAUGGCGGUAUGCUUUUGUAGCGAGAGCAGUUCCGCUUGAAUAGUGAAUAGUUGGGUAUGUGUUGGUUGGACGUGUGUGGUUUGCUGCUUGCGGUGCUUUGAUUAUGGUUUGACACUGUUUUACCGACGGUGCUUUUACUGUUUUCGAUUAUGGUACUGUUGAGCGCACUGCACUGUGGUGUCUAAUUAGCCAUUCCGACGGAGACUAUUGCCUUGACGGUGAGCAUUUCGAUGCUUGCUUGGUGGUCGUUACUGACCAUUGAAUGUUUGGGUAAAUUUUAAGACAACCUC
rnacentral:misc_RNA from 1 species